rnacentral:lncRNA from 1 species
GAAAUGACCAAAGAUCUGGCAGCAGAAGGGAAAAGAAAAAAUAAUGGGAAGAAGAGGAUUUAUCUGACUCAACUGGAGAUGGCUCCCUUCCCUUAUUUAUUGUUGCAUCCUGAAGCUUCCCCCAUGCUGGGCUCAGUGUGAACAAACAGCGCGGGAGAAUGCAACCACUGCAGAGGCAUAUGUUUGAGAUACCUGGCCACUGGAGGUCAUCUCGUCUACUAUAUUCACCGCAGAUAAAGAAUGAAAAGAGAAUACACAACCUUGUGAUUGCUAGCAGUGAAAGCUCAGAGUUAUGACAUAACAAUUGGUUGGAAAGAACCCAAGGGGACAUGGGCACAGCAUCCCUUCCUGGGCCUCUUCCUCAGGUGGUGCGGGUGGGAAAUCAGGAAGCUCCCAGACAUGGAGCAACUCAGGUGAUCAUGGAACAGAGAGGUAAGGAUUUUGCUUGAAU